ACGGGGUGCAGCAGGCGCGAAAAACUUUACAAUGCGGGAAACCGCGAUAAGGGGACACUGAGUGCCAGCAUAUUAUGUUGGCUGUCCACAUGUAUAAAAACCAUGUGUUAGCAAGGGCCGGGCAAGACCGGUGCCAGCCGCCGCGGUAACACCGGCGGCCCGAGUGGUGAUCACUUUUAUUGGGUCUAAAGGGUCCGUAGCCGGUUUGAUCAGUCCUCUGGGAAAUCUGACAGCUCAACUGUUAGGCUUCCAGGGGAUACUGUCAGACUUGGGACCGGGAGAGGUAAGAGGUACUACAGGGGUAGGAGUGAAAUCUUGUAAUCCCUGUGGGACCACCAGUGGCGAAGGCGUCUCACCAGAACGGGUCCGACGGUGAGGGACGAAAGCUGGGGGCACGAACCGGAUUAGAUACCCGGGUAGUCCCAGCCGUAAACGAUGCUCGCUAGGUGUCAGGGACGGUGCGACCGUUUCUGGUGCCGCAGGGAAGCCGUGAAGCGAGCCACCUGGAAGUACGCCGCAAGGC
rnacentral:rRNA from 1 species